AGACCCGAAACCCGGUGAUCUAGCCAUGGGCAGGUUGAAGGUUGGGUAACACUAACUGGAGGACCGAACCGACUAAUGUUGAAAAAUUAGCGGAUGACCUGUGGCUGGGGGUGAAAGGCCAAUCAAACCGGGAGAUAGCUGGUUCUCCCCGAAAGCUAUUUAGGUAGCGCCUCGUGAAUUCAUCUCCGGGGGUAGAGCACUGUUUCGGCUAGGGGGCCAUCCCGGCUUACCAACCCGAUGCAAACUGCGAAUACCGGAGAAUGUUAUCACGGGAGACACACGGCGGGUGCUAACGUCCGUCGUGAAGAGGGAAACAACCCAGACCGCCAGCUAAGGUCCCAAAGUCAUGGUUAAGUGGGAAACGAUGUGGGAAGGCCCAGACAGCCAGGAUGUUGGCUUAGAAGCAGCCAUCAUUUAAAGAAAGCGUAAUAGCUCACUGGUCGAGUCGGCCUGCGCGGAAGAUGUAACGGGGCUAAACCAUGCACCGAAGCUGCGGCAGCGACACUGUGUGUUGUUGGGUAGGGGAGCGUUCUGUAAGCCUGUGAAGGUGUGUCGUGAGGCAUGCUGGAGGUAUCAGAAGUGCGAAUGCUGACAUAAGUAACGAUAAAGCGGGUGAAAAGCCCGCUCGCCGGAAGACCAAGGGUUCCUGUCCAACGUUAAUCGGGGCAGGGUGAGUCGACCCCUAAGGCGAGGCCGAAAGGCGUAGUCGAUGGGAAACGGGUUAAUAUUCCCGUACUUGGUGUUACUGCGAAGGGGGGACGGAGAAGGCUAUGUUGGCCGGGCGACGGUUGUCCCGGUUUAAGCGUGUAGGUGUGUGUUCCAGGUAAAUCCGGUUCACUUUAACACUGAGGCGUGACGACGAGGCACUACGGUGCUGAAGCAACAAAUGCCCUGCUUCCAGGAAAAGCCUCUAAGCAUCAGGUAACAUCAAAUCGUACCCCAAACCGACACAGGUGGUCAGGUAGAGAAUACCAAGGCGCUUGAGAGAACUCGGGUGAAGGAACUAGGCAAAAUGGUGCCGUAACUUCGGGAGAAGGCACGCUGACACGUAGGUGAAGUGAUUUACUCAUGGAGCUGAAGUCAGUCGAAGAUACCAGCUGGCUGCAACUGUUUAUUAAAAACACAGCACUGUGCAAACACGAAAGUGGACGUAUACGGUGUGACGCCUGCCCGGUGCCGGAAGGUUAAUUGAUGGGGUCAGCGCAAGCGAAGCUCCUGAUCGAAGCCCCGGUAAACGGCGGCCGUAACUAUAACGGUCCUAAGGUAGCGAAAUUCCUUGUCGGGUAAGUUCCGACCUGCACGAAUGGCGUAAUGAUGGCCAGGCUGUCUCCACCCGAGACUCAGUGAAAUUGAACUCGCUGUGAAGAUGCAGUGUACCCGCGGCAAGACGGAAAGACCCCGUGAACCUUUACUAUAGCUUGACACUGAACAUUGAGCCUUGAUGUGUAGGAUAGGUGGGAGGCUUUGAAGUGUGGACGCCAGUCUGCAUGGAGCCGACCUUGAAAUACCACCCUUUAAUGUUUGAUGUUCUAACGUGGACCCGUUACCCGGGUUGCGGACAGUGUCUGGUGGGUAGUUUGACUGGGGCGGUCUCCUCCUAAAGAGUAACGGAGGAGCACGAAGGUUGGCUAAUCCUGGUCGGACAUCAGGAGGUU
rnacentral:rRNA from 2 species